GAAUAAAAUGCUCCGCAGGGCGCAGCUUGAUACGACCGCAGAGGUCGAACCCUGAACAGUUGGGGCAAGUAUGGACACAACAUUCAAGCUUGAUACAGCUCUGAAUUUGGAUUGUGAUUAAAUAUUUGACACAGCAUAGGUUUCUGACACAGAAAGAAUGUGGUCUAAGAACUUCAAUUUUUUUAAUUUACCUAUUAUGGUCCAAUGUCCAAAAUCAAAAUACAUGGUUAGAUUCAGCAUAUCAAAGAACCCCAUAUAUUCAAUUUUUGUUGAAAUCAAACAAAGUUUAAUUUUGGACCCCAACUUGGACAAACUUGAAAACUGGUCCCAUAAUCAAAAAUCUAAACACAUGUUUAGAUUCAGCAUAUCAAAGUACCCGAAGAAUUCAAUUUUUGUUAAAAUCAAACUAAGUUUAAUUUUGGACCCUUUGGACCUUAAUGUAGACCAAUUUAAAAAACGGGACCCAAAAUUAAAAAUCUAAAAACACGGUUAGAUUUGGCAUAUCAAAGAACCCCAAUAAUUAAAUUUUUGAUGAAAUCAAACAAAGUUUAAUUUUGGACCCUUUUGACCUUAAUAUGAACCAAUUUGAUAGCGGGCCCACAAAUAAAAAAUCUAAAUACAUGGUAAGAUUCAGCAUAUCAAAGAACCCCACAUAUUCAAUUUUUGUUGAAAUCAAACAAAGUUUAAUUUUGGACCCCAAUUUGGACCAACUUGAAAACUGGGCCAAAAAUCUAAAAUCUAAAUACAUGUUUAGAUUCAGCAUAUCAAAGAACCCCAUAUAUUCAAUUUUUGUUGAAAUCAAACAAAGUUUAAUUUUGGACCCCAACUUGGACCAACUUGAAAACUGGUCCCAUAAUCAAAAAUCUAAAAACAUGUUUAGAUUAGGCAUAUCAAAGAACCCCAAAAAUUCAAUUUUUGUUAAAAUCAAACCAAGUUUAAUUUUGGACCCUUUGGACCUUAAUGUAGACCAAUUUAAAAAAAACAGGACCCAAAAUUAAAAAUCUAAAUACACGGUUAGAUUUGGCAUAUCAAAGAACCCCAAUAAUUCAAUUUUUGAUGAAAUCAAACAAAGUUUAAUUUUGGACCCUUUUGACCUCAAUAUGAACCAAUUUGAUAGCGGGCCCACAAAUAAAAAAUCUAAAUACAUGGUAAGAUUCAGCAUAUCAAAGAACCCCAUAUAUUCAAUUUUUGUUGAAAUCAAACAAAGUUUAAUUUUGGACCCCAUUUUGGACCAACUUGAAAACUGGGCCAAAAAUCUAAAAUCUAAAUACAUGUUUAGAUUCAGCAUAUCAAAGAACCCCAUGUAUUCAAUUUUUGUUGAAAUCAAACAAAGUUUAAUUUUGGACCCAACUUGGACCAACUUGAAAACUGGGCCCAUAAUCAAAAAUCUAAACACAUGUUUAGAUUCAGCAUAUCAAAGAACCCCAAGAAUUCAAUUUUUGUUAAAAUCAAACUAAGUUUAAUUUUGGACCCUUUGGACCUUAAUGUAGACCAAUUUAAAAAACAGGACCCAAAAUUAAAAAUCUAAAUACAUGGUUAGAUUCGGCAUAUCAAAGAACCCCAAUAAUUCAAUUUUUGAUGAAAUCAAACAAAGUUAAAUUUUGGACCCUUUGGACCUCAAUGUGGACCAAUUUAAAAACGGGGCCCAAAAUCCAAAAACUUAAUACACGGUUAGAAUCAGCAUAUUAAAGAACCCCAAGAAUUCAAGAAUAAAACCCCAUUGAAAUUGAUCAAGAAAUAAGCAAUUUAUACGAAGUAUCUUCUUUUGCACAAUACUGUGCAAUUGAAUAUUUCUUGCUAUUGCGCAAUACUGUACAAUUGACAAUUUCUUGCUAUUGCGCAAUAUUGUGCUAUUGGAUAUUUCUUGCUAUUGCGCAAUACUGUGCAAUUGAAGAUUUCUUGCUAUUGCGCAAUACUGUGCAAUCGAAGAUUUCUUGCUAUUGUGCAAUACUGUGCAAUUGAAAAUUUCUUGCUAUUGCACAAUACUUAUUAUAUAAUAAUUUACACAUCCUGUUUGGUGUGUAUCUCCUACCAUAUCAUUAUUAUUUGCUUUUAAAUAUAAAUCAGAAAUAACCAACUUAAAAUGGAAAAUUUUAAAAGAAAAAAAAAAAAAAAAAAAAAUCCCCCCCCCCAAAUUUUUUGAACCCCCUUAUGAUUCAUCACCCCCAAACUCAAUCCCAGCCUUCCCUUUGUGGUAUGGUACCUUGCAGUACAAUUUCAGAGAGAUCCAUACACUUGAACACAAGUUAUUGUCUGGAAACUAGAAAAAUGCUUAUUUUUGGCCCCUUUUUGGCCCCCAAUUCCUAAACGUUUCGGGCAAUUACCCCCAAACUCAAUUCCAGCUUUCCCUUUGUGAUAUGGAACCUUGUAGUACAAUUUCAGAAAUAUCCAAACACUUACACACAAGUUAUUGUCAUGAAACUAGAAAAAUGCUUGUUUUUUGCCCCUUUUUUGGCCCCUAAUUCCUAAAAUUUUGAGGCAAUUACCCCCCAAAUCAAUUACAGCCUUCCCUUUGUGAUAUGGAACCUUGUGGUACAAUGUCAGAGAGAUCCAUACACUUACACACAAGUUAUUGUCUGAAAUU